rnacentral:lncRNA from 1 species
AUUUUCCGGAAGUUAUAUUCACGCUGCUGGUGCUGCUGUCUGGGCACAUGUAGAAUAAGGAGGAGGUUUGUCUGUGAUCUGAAGUUUUAACCGAGUCCCUGUCAGGUUUAUCCUCCUCUCUCGCUCUCUGGCUCAUCCGUCAUGGCGCAGGAAAAUCUGUCUUUAGUGCUGCACUCAAAGGGAGACCUCAGACUGGUAAGAGACCGGCACAGACUUUUAUAUUAUGUGGUGAACAAAAUAAGUUGUAGCUCGUAUGAAACCAUCUAAAUGCACAUUUUUUUCCUUUUGAUUUUGUUCAUUUCUCAAAGGAAAAUCGCCCUGUCCCGGAGCCAGGACCUAAUGGUGCAGUAUGACAGUCUACUUUUACAAACAUUACAAAAUAAACUCUUAAAAUGUUGAAGAUGUGUGUCUUACUGCAAAACCAUCUCAAAGCUAGAGCACGUCCAGGCUGUUCUGCUUCAACUUCAUGCACUUAAUUUCAUGGAGCAUAUUUUUACCUCCAGAGAAAGUAUCUUUACUGAGCCAAAGCUGAGGUUUUGUUUUUAUGAUCAGGUUGCAAACAUUGCUUUUUGUCAUGUGUGUCCUGUUUUUUCCUUUUCCAGAGGUUUUGCUGCAGAUGCACUCUGUGGGAAUUUGUGGAUCAGACGUUCGUUUCUGGCAGCACGGACGGCUCGGGGAUUUUGUGGUUAAAAAACCUAUGGUGCUGGGCCAUGAGGCAUCAGGGCGGGUGGUGAAGGUCGGAGCUGCAGCCAAGCAUCUGAAAGUAGGUGAGUGGGCGUGUCUGGAAGCUGUUAAAUACUGGAGACUAUACACUCACCGGCCACUUUAUUAGGUACACCUGUCCAACUGCUCGUUAACACUUAAUUUCUAAUCAGCCAAUCACAUGGCGGCAACUUAGUGCAUUUAGGCAUGUAGACAUGGUCAAGACAAUCUCCUGCAGUUCAAACCUAGCAUCAGUAUGGGGAAGAAAGGUGAUUUGAGUGACUUUGAACGUGGCAUGGUUGUUGGUGCCAGAAGGGCUGGUCUGAGUAUUUCAGAAACUGCUGAUCUACUGGGAUUUUCAUGCACAACCAUCUCUAGGGUUUACAGAGAAUGGUCCGAAAAAGAAAAAAUAUCCAGUGAGCGGCAGUUCUGUGGGCGGAAAUGCCUUGUUGAUGCCAGAGGUCAGAGGAGAAUGGCCAGACUGGUUCGAGCUGAUAGAAAGGCAACAGUGACUCAAAUAACCACCCGUUACAACCAAGGUAGGCAGAAGAGCAUCUCUGAACACACAGUACGUCAAACUUUGAGGCAGAUGGGCUACAGCAGCAGAAGACCACGCCGGGUGCCACUCCUUUCAGCUAAGAACAGGAAACUGAGGCUACAAUUUGCACAAGCUCAUCGAAAUUGGACAAUAGAAGAUUGGAAAAACGUUGCCUGGUCUGAUGAGUCUCGAUUUCUGCUGCGACAUUCGGAUGGUAGGGUCAGAAUUUGGCGUCAACAUCAUGAAAGCAUGGAUCCAUCCUGCCUUGUAUCAACGGUUCAGGCUGGUGGUGGUGGUGUCAUGGUGUGGGGAAUAUUUUCUUGGCACUCUUUGGGCCCCUUGGUACCAAUUGAGCAUCGUUGCAACGCCACAGCCUACCUGAGUAUUGUUGCUGACCAUGUCCAUCCCUUUAUGACCACAAUGUACCCAACUUCUGAUGGCUACUUUCAGCAGGAUAAUGCGCCAUGUCAUAAAGCUGGAAUCAUCUCAGACUGGUUUCUUGAACAUGACAAUGAGUUCACUGUACUCAAAUGGCCUCCACAGUCACCAGAUCUCAAUCCAAUAGAGCAUCUUUGGGAUGUGGUGAACGGGAGAUUCGCAUCAUGGAUGUGCAGCCGACAAAUCUGCAGCAACUGUGUGAUGCCAUCAUGUCAAUAUGGACCAAGCUCUCUGAGGAAUGCUUCCAGCACCUUGUUGAAUCUAUGCCACGAAGAAUUGAGGCAGUUCUGAAGGCAAAAGGGGGUCCAACCCGUUAGUAGCAUGGUGUACCUAAUAAAGUGGCCGGUGAGUGUAUGUCACACAGCAAAGGGAGAUUCAGAAACUUUUACAUCUUUUAUCAUCUCUUAUCUCUUUUACCUCAAUCUUAUUUCGGCCUUACUGUCUUUUUAGCUUUUGUUUUACUUGUACUCUUUUCUUAAUUAACCUUUUAGGCCUUUUAUCGUUUUAUCUCUUGCUCAUUUCUGUUGCUCUAUUUUAUCAUUACUUUUAUUAUCAGGAUUACCUGUUGUUAUUAUUUAAUUACCAUUGUUGAUAUUGCCUUUUAUAUUUACUAUCCUGUUCUCGCUUUCGUCCUCCCUUUUAAUUGCAUUAUCCUUUUUUCUUAACUAUUUCAUGUUUUUAUUUUGGUCUUCAUGGUGUCAUUUUAUGUUGCAUGGUUCUUGUAUUGUCUGGGUUCCUUAUGGCAUGAAAAUGGCCUUCAAUACCGUUUUAACUGAGCUUUUUAAUUUUGUCUUUUUCCAUGUGCUCCACAACUACAUGUCAACUUCUGUUUUUCAAAAGUGCUAUACAAAUAAAGUUAUUAUAAUCUUUUUCUAAACUCUUGUCUUUUUAAAAGUUGUCAUUUCAACCAUUUGUGACCGAUUUCACUCCAUAUGAAUAAGUUUCCACUCAGCCUCACUGUAAUAGAGAUACUAUGACAAACUAACACCGGCUUUUUAAUCUCGCCUUGUGUCCUGAAGGUGACAGAGUUGCCAUCGAGCCUGGCGUUCCCCGUGAAAUGGACGAGUUCUUCAAAAAUGGACGAUACAACAUAUCUCCAACCAUCUUCUUCUGCGCCACUCCCCCUGAUGAUGGAAAUCUGUGCCGAUAUUACACCCACAGCGCCGACUUCUGCUACAAGUAACAGUCUGUUCAGGAUUUCAUAGCCACGCUGCAAAAGAUUACUCCACCACUGCCUUAUAUCUUCCUCCAACUGCCUCUUGCUUCACUUUUACAUCCUUCUCUUUCUCUCCUCUUUGUUCCUCUCAUUGUAACAAAUCAGGUUGCCUGACAAUGUGACAUUCGAAGAGGGAGCUCUAAUUGAACCUCUGUCUGUGGGGAUCCACGCCUGUCGCAGAGCAGGUGUGACCCUCGGCAGCAGUGUGCUCAUCUGUGGUGCAGGUGAGAACUAUUAAACCUGCAUUAAAUUUUUGCAUUGAGAAAGUACUGCAGACUGCCUUUCAGAGCAUGAUGCAAUCCGAUAUAAAGGAGGUGAUUGCAAUAUUUAAUAAAUAAAAAUAAAUAAUAAAAUUUGGUUCAACACUCUGUGGGUGUAUUCACAAACCUGAGAAUCAUACUGACUCAACAAAAUCUGAGUGAGAAGCUGCUGAACCUGAACACACCUUGUUAGGGUCUUAAUAUUUAACAAACCCCCUCUGCUGUGAAAACAAGCUAAUAGGAAACAUUUGAGACGAUUCCAUGAAGCAACAACAGAUGAAACACUUGAGGUUUUCAAUUCGGAUAUAGUUGCAGGUUACAGCUAUACUGCGGAUAUUAGUUAUGAAAUGUUAGUCUCGUUCGAGCGUUGAAUGUCUUCACUCAUGCUGUUAGAAUAGACUGUAUCUAUAAGUGUUACAUUAGCCAAUAUUCAGCUGUCUCUGCAGUCGGAGCAUCUCCUUUAUUCGUCCUUUCUCCACAGGACCGAUUGGGUUGGUUUGUUUGCUCGUAGCCAAAGCCAUGGGAGCAUCACAAGUUGUCAUCACUGGUAACUCGCAGAAAAUACAUCUGAACUGAAAUGACCAUUGUCAAGAAACAGGUUCUUGUAGUUGUCCUUGUCAUUAUUAUUUUUAUUCACAAUAAUGUUUGUGAAACCUCGUACCUUGUAUUCAGAUCUGUCCUCAGAGCGCCUCGCAAUGGCCAAAGAGUUGGGGGCAGACUUCCAGCUGACAGUGACAAGAGGAGACGGACCCCAGCAGCUGGCUCAGAGUGUUGCAGACAUGCUGGGCGCUCAGCCUCACAUCACUAUUGAAUGCACUGGAGUCGAGAGCAGCAUGCAAACUGCCAUAUAUGUAUGUGAAUAUCCUUUAUAAAGAGCAUUAGAAGUUGUAUUCAAAACAAGUAAGCAUCAAUGCAUAAACUGGAGACAAUAGAGAAUUCAUUCAGGCGCUGGACUUUUCUACAGUAUUUAUAGUUGAUCAGUAUGGUGCAGCCGUUAUUUAGCUGUAUGUCUUAAUCUUGAUUUAAAAAUCUGACAUAAAUCACAUGAUUUGAAAUUGUUCUGUGUUUUUUUCUUCUUCUCAGGCAGUUCGUUCAGGUGGUGUGGUGGCGCUGGUGGGUCUGGGUGCAGAGAUGGUCACUGUUCCGCUGGUUAAUGCGGCUAUCAGAGAAGUGGACAUCAGAGGGGUUUUCCGCUACUGCAACACGUAAGAAAUUCUCCCUUGCUUGCUCCUCUGGUGGUGUCAGCAGAUGUUCUGAGGCCGAUGAUAAAAGUAACUAAGCUUUUGGUUUGGUUUACAGAUACUAAUAAUUACACGAUAAACCUUCCAGUGAUUGUUUAGUAUCCCAAACAUCUGAAAUAUUUGUCUUUGUGUUGCAGUUGGCCAACUGCCAUAGCCAUGGUGGCUUCAGGUAAAGUGAACGUGAAGCCCCUUGUGACGCACCGUUUCCCUCUGGAACAAGCGGUUCAGGCCUUUGAGACCAACCGUCAGGGUGUCGGGGUAAAGAUUAUGUUAAAGUGUGACCAGAAUGACCAGAAACCCUGACCUGCUGCAGUGACAAAAACCUGAUCAACUGAGGACAACUCAGCAUGACAGACACAAACAUCAACACUGUGAUAGUGUAUACUGUGCACUGCACGAAGUUCAGACGCUCUUUUAGCAUCAAAUGGUACAUGUAAUUAUAGAACACUGAACUCUAAAAGAAUAUUUAAAUGAUUUGAACACGAUUUUCUAUCAUUACAUAAUUUCUAAAUUAUUGACCAUUUUAUAGGCAACUGUUAAAAAAAAAGAGAAUCCUCAGAAUAAAAUCAAAAUCAGAAAAUA